rnacentral:rRNA from 1 species
AGAGUUUGAUUCUGGCUCAGGACGAACGCUGGCGGCGUGCUUAACACAUGCAAGUCGAGCGGUAAGGCCCUUUCGGGGGUACACGAGCGGCGAACGGGUGAGUAACACGUGGGUGACCUGCCCUCAGCUCUGGGAUAAGCCCGGGAAACUGGGUCUAAUACUGGAUAUGACUCCGCGGUGCAUGCCGUGGGGUGGAAAGCCUUGUGCGGCUGAGGAUGGGCCCGCGGCCUAUCAGCUUGUUGGUGGGGUGAUGGCCUACCAAGGCGACGACGGGUAGCCGGCCUGAGAGGGCGACCGGCCACACUGGGACUGAGACACGGCCCAGACUCCUACGGGAGGCAGCAGUGGGGAAUCUUGCGCAAUGGGCGAAAGCCUGACGCAGCGACGCCGCGUGAGGGAUGACGGCCUUCGGGUUGUAAACCUCUUUCAGCUCCGACGAAGCGAAAGUGACGGUAGGAGCAGAAGAAGCACCGGCCAACUACGUGCCAGCAGCCGCGGUAAU